GAGGAUAUAACUCCGUGGUGGAGUGCGUGUUUAGCAUGCACGAGGUCCUGGGUUCAAUCCCCAGUACCUCCA
rnacentral:tRNA from 1 species